AUGAGUUGCCCAGUGAUGGCUUUAUGCUACCAUCAGUUGAAGAUCCAAGAUGGAAACCUAAAGUCCACAUUUUUCCUGCUAUGCCAAGCUACCCUUAAACAGGUGAAUUGCACAAAGGAUCACUCAAUCCUUCCAACCGAGGAGAGAAACUGUGAUUGGAAAGCUCCCUUCCCAAAGGUAGGCUGUGGAACGGAGGCUUGGGGAAGGUGGGUAGCUUUUGUUGGGACAAGUCAUGGAAGCUUUGGGAGCCUUCUGCCCUGUGGUUGAUGAAACUGUCAUCUGAAAUGCUAUUCUUUUGACCAGGUGUGCCCCCUGAAUUCUGGGAUUGCAUAAUGUGAGUGCAAAUGAAAGUCAAGUCAAUGAAAGCAGUCAAGGAGGGACAAGAGAGGAGGGAGGGUAUUUCCAGAGGAGAUUUGAAAUGAGAUCCCGGGUUGAUGAGGCAAAGACAUACAGGAUGGUUGUUCAAAUGACAGGAGCUACAGAAGAUGUGCCUCUGUGUUUGUCUUUAUGAAGAGAGAAAAGCUUAAACGGACAGGAACACCAAAUAUUAAAAGUACUAUAUACAGCACAAAACAUUGUUUUAAAAUCUGAAAAUGCUACAAGAACACAGAUUUCACUUUAAAUAAUUUUGCUGAACAUGAUUUUCAAAAGUGAAUGAGUAAUUUUACAUGGUAUGGUGGUAUAGUGGUUGAAUUGUGGCCCCCAAAAAGAGUCUCCACGUUCUAACCCCCAGGACCUGUGAAUGUGACCUUUUUGGGAAAAAGCAUAUUUACUAGUGUAAUUAAGUUAAAGAUAUUUAGAUGAGAUCAUCUUAGAUUACCUGGGUGGGCCCUAAAUCCAUUGACAACUGUCCUUAUAAGAGAUAAAAGAGAAGACAGACACACAGAGCGAGAAGGUGUUGUGAAGAACGGGGCAGAGAUUGGAGCGAUGCAGCCACAGGGCAAGGAAUGCCUGAAGCCACCAGCAGCUGGAAGAAGGAUUCUCUCCUAGAGAUUUCAGAGGGAGCAUGCUCUGCAAACACUUUGAUUUUGGACUUCUGGCCUCCAGAACUGUAAGAGAAUAAAAUUUCCUUGCCGUAAGCCA
rnacentral:lncRNA from 1 species